rnacentral:rRNA from 1 species
ACGCUGGCGGCAGGCCUAACACAUGCAAGUCGAGCGGAAACGACACUAACAAUCCUUCGGGUGCGUUAAUGGGCGUCGAGCGGCGGACGGGUGAGUAAUGCCUAGGAAAUUGCCUUGAUGUGGGGGAUAACCAUUGGAAACGAUGGCUAAUACCGCAUAAUGCCUACGGGCCAAAGAGGGGGAUCUUCGGACCUCUCGCGUCAAGAUAUGCCUAGGUGGGAUUAGCUAGUUGGUGAGGUAAUGGCUCACCAAGGCGACGAUCCCUAGCUGGUCUGAGAGGAUGAUCAGCCACACUGGAACUGAGACACGGUCCAGACUCCUACGGGAGGCAGCAGUGGGGAAUAUUGCACAAUGGGCGAAAGCCUGAUGCAGCCAUGCCGCGUGUAUGAAGAAGGCCUUCGGGUUGUAAAGUACUUUCAGUUGUGAGGAAGGGKGURWMGUUAAUAGKKYRYMAUCUUGACGUUAGCAACAGAAGAAGCACCGGCUAACUCCGUGCCAGCAGCCGCGGUAAUACGGAGGGUGCGAGCGUUAAUCGGAAUUACUGGGCGUAAAGCGCAUGCAGGUGGUUCAUUAAGUCAGAUGUGAAAGCCCGGGGCUCAACCUCGGAACUGCAUUUGAAACUGGUGAACUAGAGUGCUGUAGAGGGGGGUAGAAUUUCAGGUGUAGCGGUGAAAUGCGUAGAGAUCUGAAGGAAUACCAGUGGCGAAGGCGGCCCCCUGGACA